UACGGAGGAUCCAAGCGUUAUCCGGAUUUAUUGGGUUUAAAGGGUGCGCAGGCGGAAGAUUAAGUCGGCGGUGAAAUUUUGCAGCUCAACUGUAAAAGUGCCAUCGAUACUGGUUUUCUUGAGUGUGGAUGAAGUAGGCGGAAUUUGUGGUGUAGCGGUGAAAUGCAUAGAUAUCACGAGGAACUCCGAUUGCGCAGGCAGCUUACUAAACUACUACUGACGCUCAGGCACGAAGGCGUGGGGAUCAAACAGGAUUAGAUACCCU
rnacentral:rRNA from 1 species